rnacentral:rRNA from 1 species
GGACUACUAGGGUUUCUAAUCCUGUUUGCUCCCCACGCUUUCGCACCUCAGCGUCAGUACCGGACCAGUGAGCCGCCUUCGCCACUGGUGUUCCUCCGAAUAUCUACGAAUUUCACCUCUACACUCGGAAUUCCACUCACCUCUUCCGGACUCGAGACUACCAGUAUCAAAGGCAGUUCCGGGGUUGAGCCCCGGGAUUUCACCCCUGACUUAAUAGUCCGCCUACGUGCGCUUUACGCCCAGUAAUUCCGAACAACGCUAGCCCCCUUCGUAUUACCGCGGCGGCUGGCAC